AACGUAGGGGGCGAGCGUUGUCCGGAAUUACUGGGCGUAAAGCGCGCGUAGGCGGCCUCUUAAGUCCGGUGUGAAAGCCCGCGGCUCAACCGCGGGAGGUCACUGGAAACUGGGGGGCUUGAGGGCAGGAGAGGGGAGUGGAAUUCCCGGUGUAGCGGUGAAAUGCGUAGAGAUCGGGAGGAACACCAGUGGCGAAGGCGGCUCCCUGGCCUGUACCUGACGCUGAGGCGCGAAAGCGUGGGGAGCAAAC
rnacentral:rRNA from 1 species